UAGUCCCUGCAGUGUUCGUGACAUGGCCAUACAUUCCUUGAACCAAUGCUAUUGGCAUACCGGUUGCUGGAUUGACAAGUAGGCGUGAUCUCCUCUUUUGGCGAACCCGAAACUUGGCUGAAUGCGACCACCUUGAACGAAGGUUCCAGGAUGCCGGCCUAGACGGCACAGGCGGGGCAAUU
rnacentral:other from 2 species